UUCAUACCGGAAGGAGAAACAAAUAUUACGCACUGCAUUGUUUGGUGAACGCGCAGAUUCAGCUGUUUAUAUAUCAAUCAUUAUGGCGACUAAGUUAGGGGAAGCUAAAUCUAAGUCUAGAUAUACAGAUGUACACACAAUUUUAGAAUAAAUUGAUUGGGAAGGUGAGACAGAGAUUGUUGUUGGACGAUUAAUUUUGCGAUUGUGGAGGAAUAUUUUUUGAACGGGAGAGAACAUUGUUUUGGACUGCCCUAGGACCAUGUGUCAGGACUACCUGGCAUGAUGACUUCUUGCUGUCCCCAGUCCACCUGGCCUUGCCGCUGUUCCAGUUUCAACUGUUCUGCCUGCGGCUAUGGAACCCUAAACUGUUCAUUUUUACUCUUGAGGUGCUGUCCUGUUGCACCCUCUACAACCACUGAUCUCCACCCGGCACAGCCAGAAGAGGACUGGCCACCCCUCAUAGCCUGGUUCCUCUCUAGGUUUCUUCCUAGGUUUUUGCCUUUCUAGGGAGUUUUUCCUAGCCACCGUGCUUCUACACUUGCAUUGCUUGCUGUUUGGGGUUUUAGGCUGGGGCUGUAUAAAUAGAUUUGAUAUAGGACUGAGGGUCUUCCAAAUAUUGAAAGUGUGUAAAUAGUUACCCAUGUUAUUUUGUAAAUGUAUAUAUAUAUUUUUUUUCAUACACUGCUAAAAAAAUAAUAAAAGGGAACACUUAAACAACGUAAUGUAACUCCAAGUCAAUCACACUUCUGUGAUAUCAAACUGUCCACUGAUUGACAAUAAAUUUCACAUUCUGUUGUGCAAAUGGAAUAGACAACAGGUGGAAAUUAUAGGCAAUUAGCAAGACACCCCCAAUAAAGGAGUGGUUCUGCAGGUGGGGACCACAGACCACUUCUCAGGUCCUAUGCUUCCUGGUUGAUGCUUUGGUCACUUUUGAAUGCUGGCGGUGCUUUCACUCUAGUGGUAGCAUGAGACAGAGUCUACAACCCACACAAGUGGCUCAGGUAGUGCAGCUUAUCCAGGAUGACACAUCAAUGCGAGCUGUGGCAAGAAGGUUUGCUGUGUCUGUCAGCGUAGUUUCCAGAGCAUGGAGGCGCUACCAGGAAACAGGCCAGUACAUCAAGAGACGUGGAGGAGGCCGUAGGAGGGCAACAACCCAGCAGCAGGACCGCUACCUCCGCCUUUGUGCAAGGAGGAGAACUGCCAGAGCCCUGCAAAAUGACCUCCAGCAGGCCACAAAUGUGCAUGUGUCUGCUCAAACGGUCAGAAACAGACUCCAUGAGGGUGUUAUGAGGGCCCGAUGUCUACACGUGGGGGUUGUGCUUACAGUCCAACACCGUGCAGGAAGUUUGGCAUUUGCCAGAGAACACCAAGAUUAGCAAAUUCGCCACUGGCGCCCUGUGCUCUUCCCAGAUGAAAGCAGGUUCAUACCGAGCACGUGACAGAGUCUGGAGACGCCGUGGAGAACAUUCUGCUGCCUGCAACAUCCUCCAGCAUGACCGGUUUGGCGGUGGGUCAGUCAUUGUGUGGGGUGGCUUUUCUUUGGGGGGCCGCACAGCCCUCCAUGUGCUCGCCAGAGGUAGGCGGACUGCCAUUAGGUACCGAGAUGAGAUCCUCAGACCCCUUGUGAGACCAUAUGCUAGUGCGGUUGGCCCUGGGUUCCUCCUAAUGCAAGACAAUGCUAGACCUCAUGUGGCGGCAGUUCCUGCAAGAGGAAGGCAUUGAUGCUAUGGACUGGCCCGCCCGUUCCCCAGACCUGAAUCCAAUUGAGCACAUCUGGGACAUCAUGUCUCACUCCAUCCACCAACAGACUGUCCAGGAGUUGGGGGAUGCUUUAGUCCAGGUCUGGGAGGAGAACCCUCAGGAGACCAUCCACCACCUCAUCAGGAGCAUGACCAGGCGUUGUAGGGAGGUCAUAGAGGCACGUGGAGGCCACACACACUACUGAGCCUCAUUUUGACUUGGUUUAAGGACAUUACAUCAAAGUUGGAUCAGCCUGUAGUGUGGUUUUCCACUUUAAUUUUGAGUGUGACUCCAAAUCCAGACCUCCAUGGGUCAAUAAAUUUGAUUUCCAUUGAUAAUUUGUGUGAUUUGUUCUAAGCACAUUCAACUAUGUAAAGAAAAACGUAUUUAAUAAGAAUAUUUAAUUCAUCCAGAUCUAGGAUGUGUUAUUUUAGUGUUCCCUUUAUUUUUUUGAGCAGUGUAUAUUUUUUAAUCAAUAAUUAUUAUUUUUCCCAUUUUUUUUUCUCCACCAAUUUGCCCACUUGGGUACAUUUGGGCUACUUGUGUGGGACACCUGGGUGACUUCAUGAUAAAUGUCAUGUAGCACACUCUUUUUGGAAGUUAUCAUUCUGAAACUUUGCACAAGUACUGUUGCCCUCUUAUAAUUUUUCACUGAAAUUGUCCCCAUCAUCCUAUCUGAAUGUUUGUUAUAUCUUGUUCAUUUUAAAGAUAGAAAAAUAAAAAAACGUAUGGUUUU